rnacentral:rRNA from 1 species
AUGAUGGAGAGUGAAAUCCCACCUGCCUCUCCGCCCCAUGGGGCGGGCGAUCAUGAGGUGUCAUCACGGAGGAGCCCAGAUCCGCUGAGGCCGGAAGCUGACGCUUCAGCCAUCCCGACCCCGGCGCAUUUGUCCCCCUUGCCGGAUGAUGAGAAGGGUCCGGAACAAUCCGGUGCCCGGCCGAGCAUGCUGGCGAGCCUCCUGGAGCAAGCCGCUCUCUCAGAGGGUCACCGUACGCUGAUGGGUACGGUGUUGGAGAAGAUUUCGUCUGCCACAAGCGGGUUAAAUGAAGCUUUUGGAAGUUUACUCAAAGGCUUCGAGGUAUGCGAUAAAAUAGGUAAUUUUUGA